GUUCGCUAUGAGGAUCACUAUCGGUGGUACUUUCCUAGUUUUCCUUGCGUGUGAUACUAGAAAUCUGGAAUAAAUAUUAUGCAGAAAUAUGUAUAAAUGAUUUACCCUUUCUUCGAUGUUUCUUUGACAUUUAUUGCGCAAUAUAUUCAACCCUUCGAUAUUUAAUUUAAAAAUAGACUGAAAGUCAAUUAUAUUUAUUAGUGUGUUCGCACAUGAGUUAAAGAUUAUUGUUCAAUGUAUUCCCUCACCGAAGACGAGAUGUUUC